rnacentral:rRNA from 1 species
CGGGACUCUCACGAGGCCUCGUAAUCGGAAUGAGUACACUUUAAAUAUUUUAACGAGGAACAAUUGGAGGGCAAGUCUGGUGCCAGCAGCCGCGGUAAUUCCAGCUCCAAUAGCGUAUACUAAAUUUGUUGCGGUUAAAAAGCUCGUAGUUGCAUUUGUGCGCCGCGCUGUCGGUGCACCGCAUCCGCGGUGAUACUGACACGUUUGCGGAGCAUAUCGUCGGUGAGCCGCCGGUCAAACGGCGGUUCAAUAUCAAAAUCCUAUCGCGGUGCUCUUCAGUGAGUGUCGAGGUGGGCCGGCAAUUUUACUUUGAACAAAUUAGAGUGCUCAAAGCGGGCUCAAAACGCUGCUUGAAUAUUUCGUGCAUGGAAUAAUAGAAUAUGAUCUCGGUUCUAUUUUGUUGGUUUUCAGAACUCCGAGGUAAUGAUUAAUAGGGAUAACUGGGGGCAUUCGUAUUGCGACGUUAGAGGUGAAAUUCUUGGAUCGUCGCAAGACGAACAUCAGCGAAAGCAUUUGCCAAAGGUGUUUUCAUCAAUCAAGAACGAAAGUUAGAGGUUCGAAGGCGAUUAGAUACCGCCCUAGUUCUAACCGUAAAUAUGUCAUCUAGCGAUCCGCCGACGUUAAUCAAAUGGCUCGGCGGGCAGCUUCCGGGAAACCAAAGAUUUUGGACUCCGGGGGGAGUAUGGUUGCAAAGCUGAAACUUAAAGGAA